UACGGAGGGAGCUAGCGUUGUUCGGAAUUACUGGGCGUAAAGCGCACGUAGGCGGCUUUGUAAGUUAGAGGUGAAAGCCCGGGGCUCAACCCCGGAAUUGCCUUUGAGACUGCAUCGCUAGAAUUGUGGAGAGGUAAGUGGAAUUCCGAGUGUAGAGGUGAAAUUCGUAGAUAUUCGGAAGAACACCAGUGGCGAAGGCGACUUACUGGACACAUAUUGACGCUGAGGUGCGAAAGCGUGGGGGAGCAAACAGG
rnacentral:rRNA from 1 species